GACGAACGCUGGCGGCGUGCUUAACACAUGCAAGUCGAACGGAAAGGCCCUGCUUUUGUGGGGUGCUCGAUUGGCGAACGGGUGAGUAACACGUGAGUAACCUGCCCUUGACUUUGGGAUAACUUCAGGAGACUGGGGCUCAUACCGGAUAGGAGCUACUGCUGCAUGGUGGGCGUUGGAAAGUUUCGGCGGUUGUGGAUGGACUGGCGGCUUAUCAGCUUGUUGGUGGGGUAGUGGCGUACCAAGGCUUAGACGGAUAGCCGGCAUGGGAGGGUGACCGGGGACAAGAGUCCUAAGGGACGGCCCAGUCGGCAAUGGGAGGCAGCGGUGGGAAGCAUGACGCAACGGGGCGGCGCCAGAGACAACGACGCCGGGAGCGUGAAGCCGUGUUUCGGGGUGAAAACCGCUUUGGCCGGAGAUGAAGACUGAUUGACGGUAACUAGUAAGAAAGCCCCGGCUAACUACGUG
rnacentral:rRNA from 1 species